CCCGCUGAACUUAAGCAUAUCAAUAAGCGGAGGAAAAGAAACCAACAGGGAUUGCCUCAGUAACGGCGAGUGAAGCGGCACCAGCUCAAAUUUGAAAUCUGGCUUCGGCCCGAGUUGUAAUUUGGAGAGGAUGUUUCGGGACUGUGCGUCGGUGUAAAUUUCUUGGAACAGAAUAUCAGAGAGGGUGAGAAUCCCGUCUGGCACUGACCGUCCGGCCCCGGUGAAACUCCUUCGACGAGUCGAGUUGUUUGGGAAUGCAGCUCUAAAUGGGUGGUAAAUUUCAUCUAAAGCUAAAUAUGGGCCAGAGACCGAUAGCGCACAAGUAGAGUGAUCGAAAGAUGAAAAGCACUUUGAAAAGAGAGUUAAACAGUAUGUGAAAUUGUUGAAAGGGAAGCGCUGGCGACCAGACCGGCACGCGGCGGUUCCCCCGGCCUUUUGGCCGGGCUACUCCGCCGCGUCUCGGCCUCCAUCGGUUCUGGUGGUCGGUCAAAGGCCCCGGGAAUGUACCUACCCUUCGGGCGUAGACUUAUAGCCCGGGGUGUCAUGUGGCCUACCGGGACCGAGGAACGCGCUUCGGCGAGGAUGGAGGCAUAAUGGUCGUCAGCGACCCGUCUUGAAACACGG
rnacentral:rRNA from 1 species